GACGAACGCUGGCGGCGUGCUUAACACAUGCAAGUCGAGCGGUAAGGCCCCUUCGGGGGUACACGAGCGGCGAACGGGUGAGUAACACGUGGGUGACCUGCCCUCAGCUCUGGGAUAAGCCUGGGAAACUGGGUCUAAUACCGGAUAUGACUCCAUGACGCAUGUCGUGGGGUGGAAAGCCUUGUGCGGCUGGGGAUGGGCCCGCGGCCUAUCAACUUGUUGGUGGGGUGANGGCCUACCAAGGCGACGACGGGUAGCCGGCCUGAGAGGCGACCGGCCACACUGGGACUGAGACACGGCCCAGACUCCUACGGGAGGCAGCAGUGGGGAAUCUUGCGCAAUGGGCGAAAGCCUGACGCAGCGACGCCGCGUGAGGGAUGACGGCCU
rnacentral:rRNA from 1 species